GGCAGGGUAGCUCAGUCGGUUAGAGCGUGGGAAUCAUAACCCCAAGGUCGCGAGUUCGAUCCUCGCCCCUGCUACCA
rnacentral:tRNA from 2 species